rnacentral:rRNA from 1 species
GAUGAACGCUGGCGGCGUGCCUAAUACAUGCAAGUCGAGCGAACGGACGAGAAGCUUGCUUUUCUGAUGUUAGCGGCGGACGGGUGAGUAACACGUGGAUAACCUACCUAUAAGACUGGGAUAACUUCGGGAAACCGGAGCUAAUACUGGAUAAUAUUUUGAACCGCAUGGUUCAAAAGUGAAAGACGGUCUUGCUGUCACUUAUAGAUGGAUCCGCGCUGCAUUAGCUAGUUGGUAAGGUAACGGCUUACCAAGGCAACGAAGCAUAGCCGACCUGAGAGGGUGAUCGGCCACACUGGAACUGAGACACGGUCCAGACUCCUACGGGAGGCAGCAGUAGGGAAUCUUCCGCAAUGGGCGAAAGCCUGACGGAGCAACGCCGCGUGAGUGAUGAAGGUCUUCGGAUCGUAAAACUCUGUUAUUAGGGAAGAACAUAUGUGUAAGUAACUGUGCACAUCUUGACGGUACCUAAUCAGAAAGCCACGGCUAACUACGCG